rnacentral:rRNA from 1 species
AUUGAACGCUGGCGGCAUGCCUUACACAUGCAAGUCGAACGGCAGCACGGGAGCAAUCCUGGUGGCGAGUGGCGAACGGGUGAGUAAAGUAUAGGAACGUGCCCAGUCGUGGGGGAUAACGUAGCGAAAGUUACGCUAAUACCGCAUACGAUCUAUGGAUGAAAGCGGGGGAUCGCAAGACCUCGCGCGAUUGGAGCGGCCGAUAUCAGAUUAGGUAGGUGGUGGGGUAAAGGCGCACCAAGCCGACGAUCUGUAGCUGGUCUGAGAGGACGGCCAGCCACACUGGGACUGAGACACGGCCCAGACUCCUACGGGAGUCAGCAGUGGGGAAUUGUGGACAAGGGGCGAAAGCCUGAUCCAGCCAUGCCGCGUGCAGGAUGAAGGCCUUCGGGUUGUAAACUGCUUUUGUACGGAACGAAAAGGUUUGGGCUAAUAAGCUGAGCUCAUGACGGUACCGUAAGAAUAAGCACCGGCUAACUACGUGCCAGCAGCAGCCGCCG